rnacentral:misc_RNA from 1 species
UACGUAGGGGGCAAGUGUUCUUCGGAAUGACUGGGCGUAAAGCGCACGUAGGCGGUGUAUCAAGUCAGAGGUGAAAGGCCUGGGCUCAACCUGGGAACUGACUUUGAGACUGGUACGCUUGAGUCCGGGAGAGGGUAGUGGAAUUCCCAGUGUAGAGGUGAAAUUCGUAGAUAUUGGGAAGAACACCGGUGGCGAAGGCGGCUACCUGGCCCGGUUACUGACGCUGAGGUGCGAAAGCGUGGGGAGCGAACAGG